rnacentral:rRNA from 1 species
UACGAAGGGGGCUAGCGUUGCUCGGAAUCACUGGGCGUAAAGCGCACGUAGGCGGCUUUUUAAGUCAGAGGUGAAAUCCUGGAGCUCAACUCCAGAACUGCCUUUGAUACUGGGAGGCUCGAGUCCGGGAGAGGUGAGUGGAACUGCGAGUGUAGAGGUGAAAUUCGUAGAUAUUCGCAAGAACACCAGUGGCGAAGGCGGCUCACUGGCCCGAUACUGACGCUGAGGCACGAAAGCGUGGGGAGCAAACAGGG